rnacentral:misc_RNA from 1 species
UAGGUGGCUGGCUCCGGC